GACGGAGGGUGCUAGCGUUGUUCGGAAUCACUGGGCGUAAAGGGCGCGUAGGCGGCCUUUGGUGUCGGAUGUGAAAGCCCGGGGCUCAACUCCGGAGGUGCAUCCGAAACUCAAAGGCUGGAGGCCGGAAGAGGAGGGUGGAAUACCCAGUGUAGUGGUGAAAUUCGUAGAUAUUGGGUGGAACACCGGUGGCGAAAGCGGCUCUCUGGUCCGGUCCUUACGCUGAGGCGCGAAAGCGUUGGGAGCAAACAGG
rnacentral:rRNA from 1 species